CAUGUAUUUAAAUUGCUGUUCCUACUUGUAGACUUCAUGUGUGAAUACCAUCUAUGAAAUUCUGAAGAGCUAUGUGAUGCAAAUGAAGAAUUAUAUUUCUCCAGAUCUUUUGGAUACUGGCAACAGUAUGUUGAAGGCGUUAAAUAUCAACUCGAGGAUGAUAAGACAAAUACUGCCUUCCCAACAGCCCCCAUUUGAUGUGCAGAUGAAACAGUGUGAAAUGUUCUUAGUUUUUAAACAGCUCACUCAGACAAUUGACCGAAUCUUGCGCUACCAAAAGGAGGAGGAAAUUAAGCAUCGUGCUUCAAAUAGUUUAAAUAUGUAAGAGAGAAAAGAAAGAGAAUUGGAGAAUGCCCCAUCUCCAGUACCUUCCUUUUGUCCCAGUCCUAUGUUUUGAAGAACAGAGAACAGAUUGUAAGACAUAAUCUGAAUUAGGUAGGGAAUCACUGAUGAUCUUUAGAUAAUUUUGACCUUGAUCUUGU
rnacentral:lncRNA from 11 species